CCUACGGGUGACAGCAGUGAGGAAUAUUGGUCAAUGGACGAGAGUCUGAACCAGCCAAGUAGCGUGAAGGAUGACUGCCCUAUGGGUUGUAAACUUCUUUUAUAUGGGAAUAAAAUGUUCCACGUGUGGGAUUUUGUAUGUACCAUAUGAAUAAGGAUCGGCUAACUCCGUGCCAGCAGCCGCGGUAAUACGGAGGAUCCGAGCGUUAUCCGGAUUUAUUGGGUUUAAAGGGAGCGUAGGUGAAUUGUUAAGUCAGUUGUGAAAGUUUGCGGCUCAACCGUAAAAUUGCAGUUGAAACUGGCAGUCUUGAGUACAGUAGAGGUGGGCGGAAUUCGUGGUGUAGCGGUGAAAUGCUUAGAUAUCACGAAGAACUCCGAUUGCGAAGGCAGUUCACUGGACUGCAACUGACACUGAGGCUCGAAAGUGUGGGUAUCAAACAGGAUUAGAUACCCUAGUAGUC
rnacentral:rRNA from 1 species